GGCAUGGUGGCUUAGUGGUUAGCACAUUUGCCUCACUUCCAGGGUUGGUGGUUCGAGUCCCACCUUUGCCU